rnacentral:rRNA from 1 species
GAUGAACGCUAGCGGCAGGCCUAACACAUGCAAGUCGAGGGAGAGGUUAUCUUCGGGUAGCCAAAACCGGCGCACGGGUGCGUAACGCGUAUACAAUCUGCCUUUCACAUAGGGAUAGCCCGAAGAAAUUUGGAUUAAUACCUAAUGGUAUAUAGGAGCGGCAUCGUUUUUAUAUUAAAGCUACGGUGGUGAAAGAUGAGUAUGCGUUCUAUUAGCUAGUUGGAGAGGUAACGGCUCCCCAAGGCGACGAUAGAUAGGGGUUCUGAGAGGGAUGUCCCCCACACUGGUACUGAGAUACGGACCAGACUCCUACGGGAGGCAGCAGUGAGGAAUAUUGGACAAUGGUCGGAAGACUGAUCCAGCCAUGCCGCGUGCAGGAUGAAGGUCCUAUGGAUUGUAAACUGCUUUUGUAAGGGAAGAAUAAGGAGUACGUGUACUUUGAUGACGGUACCUUACGAAUAAGCAUCGGCUAACUCCGUGCCAGCAGCCGCGGUAAUACGGAGGAUGCGAGCGUUAUCCGGAAUCAUUGGGUUUAAAGGGUCCGUAGGCGGGCUGAUAAGUCAGAGGUGAAAGCGCUUAGCUCAACUAAGCAACUGCCUUUGAAACUGUCAGUCUUGAAUGAUUGUGAAGUAGUUGGAAUGUGUAGUGUAGCGGUGAAAUGCUUAGAUAUUACACAGAACACCGAUAGCGAAGGCAUAUUACUAACAAUUUAUUGACGCUGAUGGACGAAAGCGUGGGGAGCGAACAGG